rnacentral:ncRNA from 1 species
CGGAACUGCUGGGGGUGCUAGUUAAGCUGAGAUCAUACCCUGAUGGACCUGAUCUGGAUCAUGCCAGCGUAGGGAAGCAGCCGAAUAUGCUC